CUUUUUUAUCAUUUCUGGAUCUGGACUUGAAUAACAUAUUUCUUUGUCAAAUAUACUUUACUUAACAGAUUUGGGUGUGUAUCUCUACCCCAGGUGUGUCCUUACAGCUGGAGCACAUCAAGGCCAAUCAGGAGGAGCCUAAAGAGAAAAUGAUUCCCUGAGGCAAAUGCUAAAUUGUUUUGCUCCAUGAGUGAUAAUCAGGUCUACUACAUCUUCGUUCCUGCAUUUUUUGAUGAUCAUUGCUUACUUUUUGUUGUCUCCUGUCCAGGAUUCCAGUUCCUCAGUUCAUUCUCUAUUCCUGGAUUCCAGUGUUCUGCCACCUUGCUCUCAGAGUUCGUUGAAGUCACCUCUAAACUCCAGCUGUGAAUUACCUCAACCCUCCUCUGCCUGCUCCCUUGGCUGUUCACCUGCCUGCACCUCUGGCUGCUCCUCUGGAUGCUCCCCUUGUUCAUGGUGUCAGGACCCCUCCACAACCAUCCACCAUUACUCACCUGCCUGUCCACCCUCUGACGCUCCACCACCACCCAAGUCUCCAUGUGGAAGAAAGAACUCAUUACCAACAAGCACCACUCACCACUACCUGCCUAUCUCAGCCUUUCCGUGUGAAAUGAAACCACAGACCUGAGUAAAGCCAGAACUGAAUUUCACUCUGGGACCAUGAUCUGUCCUGAAGACCAACAGUUUACUGCUGUGGAGAACAUAGAGGAGGCUGUGUCAGCUCAACUCUGUAUGCAUGCGCAUGUACAUGCACCAACCCAAACACACAAACACUGUUCACCUCUCUUAAAAGGAUGUCUCUGGUUGUGUGUGUGUGUGUGUUUUGAACCAAAUCCUGCUGGAGUUUUAAUCAAAGAGUUGUGGCUUAAAUGGAAUAAGUGUGCACUUUCAUUUCUCUGGUUUAGUAAAUAUACACGUUGCACUGCACAGUCAUAUUGCUAGGUCAUGUCUGGAGCGAACACUAAACUUUCAUUUUCUCUGCCUCCCUGCAUGAUAGUACGUCUCAAAAAAUUUCCAUCAUGUGUAAUAAACUUUGAUUUUCCAUCCGUCUAAGACUUCCAGAGCAGGAAACAGGAUUGUAUGGGUGUAAACUAUGCAAACACAACUGUUGAGAAAAGGCUUUAUCAGUGCUACACCUGUCAUUGACAGAUUCUGACACGUACAUUACGGUUAAUGAGAAUUGAAGUUAGCAAGAGGUCAAGAUAAAGUCUAAGCUUAAUAAUUUUCACAGCCCUGAC